GAGACAGCACUUUAAGCAGCAAAGCAUGGAAAACACUCAACUUCAAGGAGGAAAGCUUUUCUUCAGUAGCACCAGGGCCAGGGAGGAAAGGUACUGCAGGGGACCCAAGAGAAGUCCUCAGGACUCAGUCCCCGGAGGCCAAAGCUGCGACAUUCCUCAAAGCCAAAGCAAUAUGCCUUCAGUUUUCAUCGUUCUCCUUCCAAACUAUUUUUAAAAUGUGCCUUUAAUUGAAAGGGUAUUAUAUUUGCACAUAAAUUUUGGAAGCAGUGAUAACUGUUUAAUAUUGAGUUGUCUUGUCCAAGCCAGACAUGGUGGCUCACGCCUUUAAGCUCAGUACUUGGGAGGAAAAGGCAGGUGGAUCUCUGUGAGUUCAAGGCCAGCCUGGUCUACAGAGCAUGUUCUAGGAUAGCCAGGGAUACAUAGUAAGACCCUAUCACAAAAAACAAAACAAAAAUUGUCUUAUCCAGAAAUGUGAAGUUUUAUGAUUUUCUUUAGAUAGAACUUAAACUUUUUCCAUUUCCUAGGCAUUUUUUUCCCCCAACAUGUAACUCAAAUACUUGUUUCCAAUCAUUUCUAAAGGGCAGUAACUGCUUCGGAGGGACAAGCCUAUUGGAUCAACCAUCACAGUUGUGUCGUCAACCUCCUCACACUAAGCAGCUCUGUCAUCAGGAACGUAGCCAAAAUGCAUUAUUUAUUGUACAAUGUUCUUAUAUUCAAUUUUCAAUUUUUUUUCCUUUGGUUUUUCGAGACAGGGUUUCUCUGUGUAGCUUUGCGCCUUUCCUGGAACUCCCUCUGUAUUCCAGGACAGGCUCCAAAAGUUACACAGAGAAACACUGUCUCAAAAAAAAAAAAAAAAAUUCUUGGGGCUGGGGA